UCGCCUGUUUAACAAAAACAUGUCCUUUAGGAUAUUUAUUUAAGGUCUGACCUGCCCAAUGAUGUUUUGAAUGGCCGCGGUAUUUUGACCGUGCAAAGGUAGCAUAAUCAUUUGUCUUUUAAUUGGAGGCUGGUAUGAACGGUUGGACGAGAAAUAAACUUUCUUUAUCUUAUUAUUAAUAAUUUUAUUUUUGAGUCAAAAAGCUUAAAUUUUUUUAUGGGACGAGAAGACCCUAUAGAAUUUUAUAGUUUCUAUUUAAUACAGGCUUUGUUUAUUUUUUGUAUUAUUUAUAUACUAUUUUGUUGGGGUGACAGGAAAAUAUUUUUAACUUUUCUUUUUAUUUUUCAUUAAUAUAUGUUUUUUUGAUCCAUUUUUAGUGAUUAUAAGAUUAAAUUACCUUAGGGAUAACAGCGUAAUUCUAUUGGAGAGUUCUUAUCGAUAGUGGAGUUUGCGACCUCGAUGUUGGAUUAAAA
rnacentral:rRNA from 1 species